rnacentral:misc_RNA from 1 species
AGGCCAGAGGAUAUGGAAAGUCAGGGAAGGGAUGAGGUUGAGAAAAUCAAGAGUCAAGUUGAUCUAGAUUGUAAUAAUUUCUUGCCUCCUUUGGCUUAUCAUGCCCAGUCCAAGGUCAAUCCCCGUGGGCCAUUUGAUCCUCAUCUGGAUGGUGGAGAAGUUAGUGGGCAGCAUGUUUCCCCACACUCUGAGCUGGCUGCAGCGAAAUUCACGAAAAACAUGCCUGUUGCUGCAGCUGCAGCUGCUGCAGCAGCUGUGGUGGCGUCUUCAAUGGUAGCUGCUGCAGCAAAGACCACAUAUGGUUCAAAAGCU